UAGUUUAAGUUUAAAAAAUUUGGCUCUCAAAAGAAAUUUCAAUCGUUGUACUGUUGAUAUUUGGAUCUGUUGACUAAUGAGGUUGCCAACCACUGUAAACUAUAAGGAAGGUGUCACUGGAGAAACAGACAAUUUGAAUUCAAUGCAACACACAUUUGCUAGAGAGAAACUGCAGGAAGUUCUGCACAGCGUCCGCCAACUCUUAAUUGUUUCUUUAAUAAUUAACACCUUUCGUACCGCUCACGAGCGUUCUCGUGUUUCGCGCGCCAUCUGUUAAGGACCGCUCACGAGUUUUCUCGUUUUUCACGCGCCAUCUGUUAUGGACCUUAGAUGUCAACACACUGUCUUGUCCACAUCGAAUGAAGCGAUCUCAUUGGUGGAAACCGUGCAGAUGCACAGUGUCAG